rnacentral:rRNA from 1 species
UCUGGUGCCAGCAGCCGCGGUAAUUCCAGCUCCAAUAGCGUAUAUUAAAGUUGUUGCAGUUAAAAAGCUCGUAGUUGAAUUUCGGGGUUCCACCGUUGGUCGGGCAAUUGUCUGUACUGGCGUGAGGAAUUUCUACCUUCUGGGGAACCAUCAUGUCAUAAUUUAGCGUGU